UAAGAAAACAUUACUAUCAAGUGUGUGUGU
rnacentral:piRNA from 1 species